CAAAGUAACCACAAGGUGUAAGAAGAAAUUAUGUGGGCCUACAGUCAAGUGAGGCCAAAUCACAGCAUGAAGGAGGGGGAUAGUUCACUCAAAUUCGAUCAUUCACGUUCAACACCUUGUGAACCCUUGAAACUUUUGUUGCCAGAAGCUUCCACCUCCACCGUGUCGGAAAUUACCUUUGGUGGCGGAGGACCAAACACCAAAAACCAUAUAUCAAAACCUUCGUUUCGAUGUCCUUAACUCAAUUCCAACAUCAGUUUCACGAGAUUCACAAUCAAAUGCCCUAACUGAAACGCUUUGUUCAAGAACCCUAAACACGAAAAUCAAAAUUAAAUCCUAAUUACAUGGAAUCAAAGCCUGAAUUUUUGGGGCUUUGAUUCCUCACACCCCAAGCUACAUAACAGUAAUCGAUUCGAAGCAAAAUGGUGAGCAAAGUGAACCUAACUGCCGGAGAAGACGAAGAUGAAGACGAUUUCGAUAAGUUGUUCUUGUGAUGUGCAAGGCCAUGAUCUCAAGACACUUGGAGUGAGAACCACCAUGAAUGACUUGAAGAAAACAUGGUUGCUUGAUAAAUAAGUAACCUUAUCCAUGAAGAUGGAGAAUGAAGAAUCCAUGUGAAAAAUCAACAAUUAGGAUUAGGGAUUAGAUGAGUUAAGUUUGGUCAUCUGGUUGACAAAAAAGUCAACAGUUGAUCAAAGUCAACUUUAGGUCAAAAAUUAUUUUUUUUUGGUAAUUCCUCUAUAUGGAAAUUGUAAUAUAAUUUUGUAUGAAUGAAAUGAAAGUUUUUGAAAAGAAA